rnacentral:rRNA from 1 species
CAGCCGCCGCGGGAAUACGUAGGGUGCGAGCGUUAAUCGGAUUUACUGGGCGUAAAGCGUGCGUAGGCGGCUUCUUAAGUCGGAUGUGAAAUCCCUGAGCUUAACUUAGGAAUUGCAUUCGAUACUGGGAAGCUAGAGUAUGGGAGAGGAUGGUAGAAUUCCAGGUGUAGCGGUGAAAUGCGUAGAGAUCUGGAGGAAUACCGAUGGCGAAGGCAGCCAUCUGGCCUAAUACUGACGCUGAGGUACGAAAGCAUGGGGAGCAAACAGGAUUAGAUACCCCCGUAGUCCCUGUCUCUUAUAC